AGCCGUUGAAUAAGUGGAUUCGACGAAGGACUAAGUGGAGUCAGAGUU
rnacentral:sRNA from 1 species